UACGUAGGGUGCAAGUGUUAUCCGGAAUUACUGGGCGUAAAGGGUGCGCAGGCGGCCCGGUGCGUCAGCACUGAAAGCGCUCGGCUUAACCGAGCGAGGCGUGCUGAUACGACCGGACUUGAGGCUCUGAGAGGGUGGCGGAACUCCUGGUGUAGUGGUGAAAUGCGUAGAGAUCAGGAAGAACACCCGUGGCGCAAGCGGCCACCUGGCAGAGACCUGACGCUGAGGCACGAAAGCGUGGGGGAGCGAACCGG
rnacentral:rRNA from 1 species